rnacentral:rRNA from 1 species
GAUGAACGCUGGCGGCGUGCCUAAUACAUGCAGGUCGAGCGAACAGAUGAGGAGCUUGCUCCUCUGACGUUAGCGGCGGACGGGUGAGUAACACGUGGAUAACCUACCUAUAAGACUGGGAUAACUUCGGGAAACCGGAGGUAAUACCGGAUAAUAUAUUGAACCGCAUGGUUCAAUAGUGAAAGACGGUUUUGCUGUCACUUAUAGAUGGAUCCGCGCCGCAUUAGCUAGUUGGUAAGGUAACGGCUUACCAAGGCAACGAUGCGUAGCCGACCUGAGAGGGUGAUCGGCCACACUGGAACUGAGACACGGUCCAGACUCCUACGGGAGGCAGCAGUAGGGAAUCUUCCGCAAUGGGCGAAAGCCUGACGGAGCAACGCCGCGUGAGUGAUGAAGGUCUUCGGAUCGUAAAACUCUGUUAUUAGGGAAGAACAAAUGUGUAAGUAACUAUGCACGUCUUGACGGUACCUAAUCAGAAAGCCACGGCUAACUACGUG